rnacentral:rRNA from 1 species
AGUGAACGCUGGCGGUAGGCCUAACACAUGCAAGUCGAACGGCAGCACAGUAAGAGCUUGCUCUUACGGGUGGCGAGUGGCGGACGGGUGAGGAAUACAUCGGAAUCUACUUUUUCGUGGGGGAUAACGUAGGGAAACUUACGCUAAUACCGCAUACGACCUACGGGUGAAAGCAGGGGAUCUUCGGACCUUGCGCGAUUGAAUGAGCCGAUGUCGGAUUAGCUAGUUGGCGGGGUAAAGGCCUACCAAGGCGACGAUCCGUAGCUGAUCUGAGAGGAUGAUCAGCCACACUGGAACUGAGACACGGUCCAGACUCCUACGGGAGGCAGCAGUGGGGAAUAUUGGACAAUGGGCGCAAGCCUGACCCAGCCAUGCCGCGUGGGUGAAGAAGGUCUUCGGGUUGUAAAGCCCUUUUGUUGGGAAAGAAAAGCUGUAGGUUAAUACCCCGCUGUUCUGACGGUACCCAAAGAAUAAGCAACGGCUAACUUCGUG